CUUGGAUAUAUAUUCUACAAGCUGAGUGUUAUAGCAGCAGAACUGAAAAGGAAUGGAAAGUCAAACCAUAUGUGUGCCCGGAUACAGCUCGUUCUGUUACUUAUUAUGUCCUUCAAGGAUAACUCCGCUUUCUUGGAUGGUUACCGCCUCACCACGGAAAUGAUUUGGUUCAUUGGUUUGCAAGUGUAUGCUGGGGCUGUGCACUAUGAGAUCGCUGGGGUGGAGGAUCCCAGAC